rnacentral:rRNA from 1 species
UACGGAGGAUGCGAGCGUUAUCCGGAUUUAUUGGGUUUAAAGGGUGCGUAGGCGGAUCGUUAAGUCAGUGGUCAAAUUGAGGGGCUCAACCCCUUCCCGCCAUUGAAACUGGCGAUCUUGAGUGGAAGAGAAGUAUGCGGAAUGCGUGGUGUAGCGGUGAAAUGCAUAGAUAUCACGCAGAACCCCGAUUGCGAAGGCAGCAUGCCGGCUUCCGACUGACGCUGAAGCACGAAAGCGUGAGGAUCGAACAGG